CACAUUGUCUUGGCUAGUAUCGGUGCUACA
rnacentral:piRNA from 1 species